rnacentral:lncRNA from 1 species
UGCAAACCACCUCAUGUUCCACAGAACCUGUUGAAACCCCAAAACCAAGAUUUCAUCGCCAGAAAAUGCUAGGAAGAAAAACUGUAGCUACUGGUUCUCUGAGGAAGACAUUGAAUGAAAAAUUACAUUCCAGUCAAAAAAAGAAGUCUCACAGCAAAGGAGACCAACUCUAGCUCUGAAUCUGAUGACUACACCUCUGCCAGUGAAGGAGAUGAACCUAGGUCUUCUA